CGGUAUCCUCCGCGGAGGAUUGAAAAGGGAAUCCGGUGCGAAGCCGGAACAGUACCCGCUGCUGUGAGUUCCGCUCCCACAGGUCGAUUGCACAGGUCAUUGGAAGGAAUGUCUUCCGAGAAGACGCAAGGCGACAGGAACAAGUCAGAAGACCUGCCGAUGUA
rnacentral:ncRNA from 1 species